UGCGCUUGGCCUUUUCCAUUUGCUAUUGGAUCGGUCAGUCACUGUUAGGCGGGUGCUAGAAUACCCAGCUCCAAUGGACUCGUCCUUUUUGUGUUUUUGUCAAAUGGAUUUUCUGCUCUGGCAGAUAUUCGGACUCCCUGCUGUUCAGCUUGAUCUUCUUAAUGACUGCUACAUCUUUGUGGAUAAUAGACUACAAAUGUUCUGUGCCCUGCUCCUCUUUGCCCCUGAUCAUUUUCCUUGCGCCAGCGGGCUCUGCGCCUGGAAGCUGGGAUCUUGCUCCCUUCAAGCCCUAUCCCGGAAGCAAGCGUCCUCUGAGAGGCAGAUGGGUAUCUUCGGCCUCUGAGGCUGGUUAACAAGAGGUCCUGGAUCCACAGAACAGCAGACGGGAACGUGCAACGAAGGGUCACGUGUCCAGGGAGACCCAAAACCCUCCAUCACUUUUGCUCUUCUUCAGUUUAGUCACGAACCUCGCAAAACUAUUGUUUGCUGUUCCGCUAAACUCCUCAUACUUGGCAAUAGCGCUUGCGCUUUGACCAUGGCAUCUACUAUCGUUUUUCUAUUUUUAGUAGACUUUUUCUUUGUACAAACAUUAUCUAUGAUCCACCACCUCCUGCAGGUCCGGCAAACUCUUGGUUGACCCAGACUCCCCCGGAGUUGGAGUUGAGGUCAGAGAAGCUCGGGACAACCACGAAGCCGGGGUCCCUCGCGCCCCAACCACCACGGUUAAGGAUUCUGAUACGUUACUAAACCGCCACCCAGAAAGGAAUUGCGAUUUGAACUUCUACCAGAAAUCAGAAAAAGGACAGCCUGCAGGGGUGACGGAGACCCAGAAGUCCAGAGCUUUGCAGAGUCGUCACUCCGGAGAGUACACCUCCAGAAUCUUCAGUGCAGUUUAAAUCACACUUGACUUUGCCCCAGCCUGCGGGUAAGUCAACGGUCAACCAGGGAGACCCAGGAAGGGGCAGUGAGAAUGGGAUGGGACAAGAGAUAAAACAGUUGGAGACAAGACAGGGUUCUGAUCAAGUCUCGUUUAUUCAAGGAAAUAAUUCAGAGGCCGAUUGAAAACUGAGCCCAGCAGGUGAGGGAAGGCUCCAGUGUGGCUGUGUUUGACCAGGAGAUGUUCACACCUCCAGACCAUGGAGAUUCAAACAGAAAGAUUCCAGAGACCCCAUAGGUUAGGCAGCUUGGAGCUUGUCAUGCAGGGUGCUCUUAGCACCAGCCAGCUGCAGGGGCCAAGAAAGAGCCCAUCUGGACUCUGGAGCUCUGUGUCCUCUCUGUCCAAAAUCCCGUGAGCGCCUGAUUUCUCCGGGUGGGUAAUUUUUCACUUCGCGUUUGUCUUCAGAUUUCUCGUGGAAACCUUGAAACCGUGAUUUCUUCCUGUGCAGUUGAAGCUGAACUCCUAAAGAAGCUAAGAUAGGGCCCCUGGUGGUCUGGGCCAGUUCUUAAAGGAUAAGGCUGUAGCCAGGUCCUUGGGUAGAAUCCCCAGCCAGCACAGGUCUGCAAUGGACAUACCUCUUGGAAGCUGGUUUGUCUGGAACUCUGAUAUAUAUGCUUCUGUUUGGGUGGAGGGGGAGACUACCAGGAGGGCUGUCGCUGUGCCGGGCAGGAAGACCUCACAGCUGUGCUAAUCUGAACAAAUACUUUGUCGCGGCUGGCUGUCCCAUAAGUGGGGGUUUCUAUUGUAUUGUUUGUGAUAGAAGAGGUAGAGGAUGGUGGGAGAUGAUGGGAGGGAAGGGUGGCUUGUUUCUGUCGGGCUGGCUUGCAGCUGGUGGGAAGAGGCAUAAGGCUGUCCUCCACACCAUUUCUUCGUCCUUGGGAUCUGUGCUGUCCCUCUGAGGAACAAUGGAAGCCGGAAGGCAGGCUGCUGAAACCAUACCCCUUGAGGUUAGCAGUCGAAGUUGUACCUAGUGGGCUGGCGGAGGUGAGCUGUUGGUCAGUUCACCUGAGGGCUGUGUCUUCAAGUGCCAGGGUAGCUGUUAAAAAGAGCUCAGGAGAAGGCAGGAGGCCAUUGUCUUAUUGAAUUUCCAGUCCAUUAAGAAGUCCUGUCUGUAACUUUGAAGACAGGAUGCGACCCCACAAACUGCUUAAGUUCCUCACCUUGGUGACCCCCAUUUGUCAAUGGGUCCCUCACAGUGUUCCCCAAACUAGGACUGAGAAUGAAUGAGUUUAUCUUUGAAUAUGUUCUUCUCACCAUAGCCACCUAGGACGAAUGUUGUGUCUCCUGCUCAGUUCCUCUCUGGCUGUCCUCUGAACCUCCGUAGGUCCAAAGGCAGGAGCCCACUUACCAGUGCAUGGAAGUCCCAGGCGCUGGGCAGCUACCUUAGGGAAAUGCCAGGCUGCCGCAGAAAGUAUCCCGUUUGUUGUAAAGGACAGAUUUGCUGCUGAAGCCACAGUUUGCAAUCUUGAUGUUUGUGCCAGCAUCAGAGGGUUUGUGUGCCCGUAAUGUGUAAGGACAGUGCUCUCCUGGUGGGAGCCUGCAUGUCCCAAGUGCUGGAACUUGCUUCAGACCUCUGUUUUUCUCUUCACUGCUAUGAGGCACUUCGUAUCCCAAUAGAUGUCCAGUCCUAAGGUUCAAGCAGAACAAGACUGUUUUUCCACUGCCUAUCACUUUCGACAUUUCACUCUGUUGGAAUUACCAGAGUCUUCAUGCAUCUUUACUCCUGGGGGCGUUCUCUGCAGGGUGGAGGCAUUCCUGGCUGUGAGGAUAUAUGUGCUUUGUGGACUUUACCUCAACCAGAUUAUCUUUAGCUGCCCACGUGGGUCUCUCUUCAGCAGAUAGGACUGAGGGGCCCUGCAGCAGGUCGCAUUUCCUGCUGACACUCAAGAGUCAAGGCUCCCCAGAGUCAGCUCAAAGCUGAGAGAAGCGUGCCCUUGUUUCAAGUCACCUCAGGAGGUGAACCCAAACUUCACCCGGUGAAUUUAUCUUUACAGUGGAAAAAACACAAUGCUGGAUGAAAAGUAAAUUUAAAAAAAUAGUUUUCAAAGAAAAAAAUUGAUUAAAAGAAAAAUUUAAAAGACUAAAACUGGGGAGAGCUAAGAGGACCAGUAAACUAGUCCCAGUGAGAGACUCACGGGUGCCGGAGACUGUAAAAUAGUGGCUUCAUCCACGGUCAUAGGAAAAGUGACCCUAAUCAAUAGCAGAGUUCUCAAAUAGUCCCUUUAAAAAAUUAUUCAUUCAGGGUCCCAAGGAGCUUUGGUUUUUAUGUGGGUUCUGAUUACCAAUGUUGCUGACCGCAGGCUGCAGAAGCCGGGGUCACGGAGCAUAGACAUCCCUCGACCCCCUAAUCUUUCUGGUCAUUCUGCAGGGGCUUCUCCCAGCAGCUACUGCCCUUCUCCUCCUAUCCCAUCCCAGCUUUUCUAAGGCACCCCUCCCCUCCUUCGGGGCCACAAGACCCCCCAUCUCAGCCCCUAUUGGGGCUGCUACCAGGUGGUGAGCGGCAGGAGGUCCUUUGUUUCACUCAGCUUACCGGUGGCAAACUAGGCCUUUUGUCUGCAAGGUAACCUGCCCAGCAAGGAGCCCUGAUUACCAAUGGACUCGUCAAUGUCUUCCUCAUUCCAAGCUUGCACCAGUAUCACAGAGCUUGGCUUUUACAGAGCUUCAGAGAAGCUGUGCUUAAUUUGGUGGAAUUCACAGUGCAUCUAGCGUCGUGACACUGUGACACAGUAAGUUACUUUGGUAUCAGGGUAAGCACAGAGGAGAUGGUCGUAAACUGCCCAACUUUUUCUUGGAGUAGAUUCUUUCUUCCCGAGAGCUUUAGGACCUCUUGGAUCAAUCUCAGCAUCUCGAGAUGGAGCUGAGCACAAAGGAGAAGGCCCUGUUGCCCCAGCUACUCAGAGACUGAAGCAGGGAAGGGUCUCUUGAGUGCUGGAGCUCAUGGCUAGACUGGGCAACAUGGUGAGACCCUGUGUCUAAGAAACCAGUCAAGUAGAAAUGGCAUCUGUGAAUUGAGCAAAUACAUUGCCUUCUCAUUUUUUUUUUGGCUCAACAAUGUGUUUUGUUCCAAGUGUCUCACACUCAGCUCAGUGUGGGAGAGUGCUUCCGAGCACUGGACCCAUCACCAAGGGUGCCUCUUGGUUACUUUCACAAGCAUCUGUCUGAUAUGGAGACAGAUAAAUGCCAACUGUCGUUACAUAGUUUUGUGGCUAUUCCUAAAUUGGGCUCACCUAUUUAACUAGCAUCUGGGUCAAAUGUGGCACUACGGUAUGGUGUCCCGAGAUGUCCUCUUACAGCCACUCUUUCUGCAGUGGGCUUUCUCUUCUCACAGAAUUGGUUGGUUUAGUUUGUUUUCGCCAUUAGGCAUGCAGAAUCACAAACUGAAUCUUAUGUCUUUCAUUUGUUCAAUAUUUUGUGAGGUCCAAAUAAUUUAUUAUUCUAAAGACCAGUUGUGUGACCAUAAGCCUGUCACACAACUGGUCUUUAGAAUAACAUUGGCCACUUGGGUCAGUCUCAGUUUGUGAACGUUAAACACAGCUCUAAACAUUCCUACACAGAUUGGGGGUGGGGGUGGGGGCAAACAUAUAAAUGCAUCUUGCUGAGUAUGUAAAUUUAGAGAGACAUGGCUGGCAUGUAACAUAUGAAUACUUUAGUUUCCAUACAAAUGGACGUGGUUUCCGCUGAUUGCCACAGCCAUCUGCAUCCUGGGUCCGCUCUGGGGGUUGGUGUCGCCUGUGUCUGAAGCCUUCACCCCUCUGCAGUGCCACAGUGCUGCUAGCCUUGUGGCCUGCCUUUCUCUGCUGCCCCGUGAUCACGAAGAACAGCUUCUCAGGGCUCUAUUGGCCGCUCCCUCUUUUGAGAAGCACCAGUGCAUAUGUGACGCUCAUUUCUCAGUUCAAUGGCUUUCAUUUUUCAUGUUGAUGUCUACUACAUCCUUUCUUCAUACUGUAUCAUGAGCAGGAAGCACAAGGUUACCUGCAAAGCUGAGGACUUCUCUUUAGAGGAGCCAAGGAGUGGUUAGUAUGGGUUAGCCAUCCUCUGCAACAGGUGAGUUCUUUAUAGCCCAGGCAGGCCUUGAGUUUGCACGUCCCCUAUCUCAACCUCCCCCAAGCAGUUGAGGUCACCAUUCCUGGUGAAGCCAGGUUGUUGACUUACGCCCUAGAAAAGGACAUCAGGAGAAGUUAAUAUGAAUCCAAGCUGAAGUUUAUUAAGAAAAGGGUUUUAAUAGAGAUGUCAGUACAGACAUUAAGAGAGAGGGAAAGAGAAACAGAAGACAUGGACAGUAGCACAUGACUUGGAGUGGAUGCAGAUUUCUAAAGAGAGUCACAUAUAACUCUGUGUGUGAAACAGAGAUGGAGAUAGAGAUAGAGGGGGGGGGCUUGGUGACCUCCAAAGUUACAUUGUUCAAAGAAUUUCAAAGAUUAAGUGGGAAUGUUUUAGUAUACUUAUUCUUAUUCUCUAAGCCAGUAGUUCUCCACACGUGCAUCCCAAUUCCUCUGGCAAACCUCUAGCUCCAAAACAUGUUUACAUUACAAAUCCUAACAGUAGCAACAUUACAGUUAUAAAGUAACAACAAGAAUCAUUUUGUGGCUGGGGGUACCCUGGUCUAUGUGAAGCCUUGUGUCAACAAACAACAAAAGCCUCAAUGGAAUCCUUACUAUAUAUAGUAUACACAGGUGACAAGGAAGUCAGGGUGGUGUUUGGCUGGGAAUAUGGUUCCUAAUCUUGUUUGUGCAAUUCUCAGCCUAUGGAGGUGAGGGACUCUGUUUCCUCCCAGUGACCUCCAUUCCCCCCCCCUUUUUUUUAGCCUGACUCUGUUAGCUAUGAAUUCUUUGUUGGCUAUGGCCCUACAUGCAUUUCCUCUUUCCUCAGAAUUCUGCUGUUAAUCUCCUGCUCUCUGUUAGUUCACCCCAAAUUGUCCCUUUCUCAUAGUGGACUUCUUGUCACUUAAAGAUGAUGGGCACCUUCCCAUCUUGGGACAGUCCUUCUCAGGCAUCCACAUGACUCUUACAAGCCUUGGCUCCAAGAUCUACUUGUAUGUCCUCACAGAACUCCUGGCAUAUCUACAUAUUAUCCUUUACCUUUUAGAGACAGGAUCUUACUAUGUGGGGUGUCUUUUGUAUAUGUGUUGCUUUUAUUGGUUGAUGAAUAAAGCUGUUUUGGUCAAUGGCUUAGCAGAGUAAAGCCAAGUGGGAAAUCUGAAGAGAUAGAGGGAGCAGGCAGAGUUGAGGAGACACCAUAUUGCUGCCAAAGGAGACAGAUGCCAACACCUUGCCCAAUAAGCCACAGACUCAUGGUGAUACAAAGAUUAAAUAGAAAUGGGUUACUUUAAGAUAUAAGACCUAGCUAAAGGGGGCUGGAGAGAUGGCUCAGUGGUAAAGAGCACUGCCUGCUCUUCCAAAGGUCCUGAGUUCAAUUCCCAGCAACCACAUGGUGGCUCACAACCAUCUGUAAUAAAGUCUGGUGCCCUCUUCUGGCCUGCAGACAUACACACAGACAGAAUAUUGUAUACAUAAUAAAUAAAUAAAUUUUUUUUUU